UCGAUUGUUGCAGACCUGUUGUCCUGAUCAACCAGAUCGGAUGAUCUACUUGCUCCGUGUCUUGAAACUCUUCAUCAAUUGCACCGUCGUGGCCGUCUCUCUGGGACUGAUAACUUUCGAGGUUGACUCGGUUUACGCUCUUUGUAACGUAUUUGGCUACAAGAAAGAAACCGGUUAGAAGGAUGGCUAAGACCGCACCGGUGACGGCGAUGAUGGUUAUGGCGCCUAAGGAUGAUGAAGAGUCUUGAGAUGGUUGAUACACGGCUGAGAUUGAUGGAGAUUGUGGUCUGAUCGUCUGUGGAGAUGACCAUGGAGGUAGCUGUGGAGAUAUGGUGUAGUAAUCAGGUUCUUGAUAGCAGUUAUAAGGGCAAACCGGGUCACAGAUUCCUAUUGAGCAAUCAAAUGUUUUGUUUGUCUCCGAUGCUAAUAUUGGGAAGAGCUUUCUAUGUUUCUUCUUGGCCAUUAAAGAAAAAUGGUAUUGUUUCUUGGUGUCCAAGGAACUAAGAUCAAGAGAAAUUGCAAGGGCAUGUGAGAACUGAAAUGUUCAUAGAAAUUUCGGUUUUUGACAAUGUAGAAGAUGGUUUGAUUUUAUCUUUGGUGUUUCUUUCACAUUCAAGAGAAAGGAAGAUGAAAAUGUCUUCUCAUCUUAGGUAAUUGACUUGUUCUGUGACAAGUUGAAGCAUCUUCUAAUUGUUUAAUUGGUGGUGAGUCUUAGUCAUGAAAGCCAUAUAUUACCUUUGAGCUUUUGACUCUUUGGCUUUUGAAGACUUAAGUAAUGUUUAUCCUUUGUUGGCCUUCGGCAGACUAUAAUAUAUAAAUAUAUCCCCUAUACAUUAAUCAUAGAGCAUUACAACAUGUUUUCGUAGCCACGUGUCAUCACGAAAAUGAUUCUUAGAAUUGUUAGAAAAAUAAGUUGGUCCAUAUAAACAUAUUAUAUGCUUUUUAUUAAACUAAUUAUCAAAUUAAUCCCCUAUAUAUUAAUUGAGGAACAUUUGAAAAGAUGUAAUCUCAAUUUUGUAAUAAUUAAAAAAGACCUCUUGCUUAUGUGUCAAUCAAUUAGGUAGUUAAUUAGUCAUACGUAUCAGCCUUACAUUGAAAUUGAAAAACAAGUUGGUCCAAUUCGAUUUUUAUAUCUCACUAGAAACAUUUAAUAUCAACUAUAUAAUAUCAUAUGAUAUUUAUUAAAGCAAGGUGGCUAUUUAUUAUAUAUUAUUUCCUUAAAUAAAACCUACGGAAUUACCUAAUGUGAUUAUGAUAUAUAUAGUAAUUAAUGAUUUUAAAUAAUGAAGAUUUGCUAAUAAUCUGUAUGCUUUCUAUCAUUUUUGUUUAAUUAUUUACUAUUAAAAUAAAUUACACAAUUACAUUAAUCAUAUAUUAAAAAUUUAAAUUUUUUUGUAUAUGUUGUAUUUUGAAAUUUUCAAAACGAGUAUAAAUUACUAAAACUGUUAAAAGUCUCACAUAAACUUUUGUGAUCAAUGUUUAAAUUUUUUUCUAUAGUAAGAUACAAUGAUAAUAAAAUCAUAUAAAUAAAUAAUUUUAUUUUAAUAGGUGUUUAUGUUAAUAUAUAUAUAUACACUUCAUAUCGUUUAAAUUUAAUUAUAUAUCAUAUACGAUAGAUAAGACUGAUUGUUUUGAUUUAUUUAUUCUAAAAUGAUUGCGAAUAAACAAGAACGGUCAUUUGAUUUAUAUGUGCAAGCCAAUUUAUUACAUAAUAGUAACUGAUUUCUUAGUUAUUUAAUAUAUAAUUAUUAUUUUAUUAUUUCAUAAUAUGCAGAAAAAUAUAAAAUAAGUAUUUAUUCUGCACAAGGCGCAUAUCUUAACCUAAAUAUGUAUCUCUUUAAUAAUUUUGAAUCUUAAACAUUUUCUAAAUCUCAGGCCAAAAUAAAAGAAAGAAAUGAGAAUAAACUCAAAAAUUAAUAUUUAUAUCGAGCAAUAACCAAAAUGACACAAAAAUGAGAAAAAUAUCGAAGAUAGAUAGGAUUGGCACGUGAACGUAAACUUCUCAUAACCAUCAUUAACUUUUAAAUUACUAAAUCAUAAUAUAAAACCGAGCUGACAUAGUUUCAUUGUAACCAAAUAGUAGGCAUGAGAUAUUUCGACCUAAACGUUAGGUUUUUAUGCGAUAAAUAAUUUUUUGACCUAAAAUAUUUUUAAAAAUGAGAUCAGUAUAACUUGCUCAUCCGCCUCUGUUUCGAACCCACCACCGUCGUUAACCUCGUUUACAGCUCCAAUUUCAAUCCUUACAUCUGAACUCUGAUCUGUGUUACUUGAACUCAACGUCUCUUUAGAACCAGAUUCAUCAUUCUCGACCUCUCCACGAUCAUCAUCAACCACACGAGAUCCUGAUCCUCCGGGAGGUACAUCAACCGGACCAGAACACCGUGGAGUACUGAUAGCUAUACCAGCUCGACACAAAGGACAGUUUGUAUGAGACCUAAGCCACGUGUCAAUACAAAAGAUGUGAAACGCAUGGUUGCAUUUAGGCAACAACCUAAGACUCUCAUCUUCUUCAAACUCGUUUAAACAGACAGGACAGUCUGUUCUCUCUAUCAAGCCAUCUCCUCUCUUGUAACUACAGAUCGUGAUCGAGUUUAUGAUCGAUUGUUGCAGACCUGUUGUCCUGAUCAACCAGAUCGGAUGAUCUACUUGCUCCGUGUCUUGAAACUCUUCAUCUAUUGCACCGUCGUGGCCGUCUCUCUGGGACUGAUAACUUUCGAGGUUGACUCUGUUAACGCUCUUUGUAACGUAUUUGGCUACAAGAAAGAAUCCUGUGAGAAGGAUGGCUAAGACCGCACCGGUGACGGCGAUGAUGGUUAUGGCGCCUAAGGAUGAUGAAGAGUCUUGAGAUGGUUGAUACACGGCUGAGAUUGAUGGAGAUUGUGGUCUGAUCGUCUGUGGAGAUGACCAUGGAGGUAGCUGUGGAGAUAUGGUGUAGUAAUCAGGUUCUUGAUAGCAGUUAUAAGGGCAAACCGGGUCACAGAUUCCUAUUGAGCAAUCAAAUGUUUUGUUUGUCUCUGAUGCUAAUAUUGGGAAGAGCUUUCUAUGUUUUCUCUUGGCCAUUAAAGAAAAAUGGUAUUGUUUCUUGGGGUACAAGGAACUAAGAUCAAGAGAAUUUGCAAGGGCAUGUGAGAACUGAAAUGUUCAUAGAAAUUUUAGGUUUUUGACAACGUAGAAGAUGGUUUGAUUUUAUCUUUGGUGUUUCUUUCACAUUCAAGAGAAAGGAAGAUGAAAAUGUCUUCUCAUCUUAGGUAUUGACUUGUCUGUGACAAGGUGAAGCAUCUUCUAAUUGUUUAAUUGGUGGUGAGUCUUAGUCAUGAAAGCCAUAUAUUACCUUUGAGCUUUUGACUCUUUGGCUUUUGAAGACUUAAGUAAUGUUUAUCCUUUGUUGGCCUUCGGCAGACUAUAAUAUAUAAAUAUAUCCCCUGUAUAUUAAUCAUAGAGCAUUACAACAUGUUUUCGUAGCCACGUGUCAUCACGAAAAUGAUUCUUAGAAUUGUUAGAAAAAUAAGUUGGUCCAUAUAAACAUAUUAUAUGCUUUUUAUUAAACUAAUUAUCAAAUUAAUCCCCUAUAUAUUAAUUGAGGAACAUUUGAAAAGAUGUAAUCUCAAUUUUGUAAUAAUUAAAAAAGACCUCUUGCUUAUGUGUCAAUCAAUUAGGUAGUUAAUUAGUCAUACGUAUCAGCCUUACAUUGAAAUUGAAAAACAAGUUGGUCCAAUUCGAUUUUUAUAUCUCACUAGAAACAUUUAAUAUCAACUAUAUAAUAUCAUAUGAUAUUUAUGUUGCAGACCUGUUGUCCUGAUCAACCAGAUCGGAUGAUCUACUUGCUCCGUGUCUUGAAACUCUUCAUCAAUUGCACCGUCGUGGCCGUCUCUCUGGGACUGAUAACUUUCGAGGUUGACUCGGUUUACGCUCUUUGUAACGUAUUUGGCUACAAGAAAGAAACCGGUUAGAAGGAUGGCUAAGACCGCACCGGUGACGGCGAUGAUGGUUAUGGCGCCUAAGGAUGAUGAAGAGUCUUGAGAUGGUUGAUACACGGCUGAGAUUGAUGGAGAUUGUGGUCUGAUCGUCUGUGGAGAUGACCAUGGAGGUAGCUGUGGAGAUAUGGUGUAGUAAUCAGGUUCUUGAUAGCAGUUAUAAGGGCAAACCGGGUCACAGAUUCCUAUCGAGCAAUCAAAUGUUUUGUUUGUCUCCGAUGCUAAUAUUGGGAAGAGCUUUCUAUGUUUCUUCUUGGCCAUUAAAGAA
rnacentral:lncRNA from 1 species